UACAGAGGUGGCAAGCGUUGUUCGGAAUUACUGGGCGUAAAGGGCGCGUAGGCGGUCUUGUCAGUCCCUUGUGAAAUCCCCCGGCUCAACUGGGGAACUGCACGGGAAACAGCAGGGCUUGAGUUCGGGAGAGGGAAGCGGAAUUCCGGGUGUAGCGGUGAAAUGCGUAGAAUAUCCGGAGGAACACCGGUGGCGAAGGCGGUUCUCUGGGCCGUUACCUGGACGCUGAGGAGCGAAAGCGUGGGGAGCGAACAGG
rnacentral:rRNA from 1 species